UAGGGUUUUACAGGGUCUUUGGUAAAGCCGUUACUUCACCACUCUAUAAAAGCCAAUAAAUCGCCGCAUACUCUCUCUCUAUGUACCUUUGUUUACCUGGAACAUUUUCAUCUAAGAUGACGUGGACGAUUACUUCUUUGCCAGAGGCGAUUUUUCCUAGUGUUUCAAAUCAUUAUUGUUGCAGACUAGCCAAAAGAGAAAAAGUUAUUGAUGCUGCUGCGGUUCUCUUUUAUCAUCAUAUUUUUAGAAAAUGGUCCAUCAAUGUUGAAUUGUUGUAAAGCUUUUUGUUUAUACAUUGUAAUUAUGCUUUCAUAUCAGAAGGCUGUGCACUGUUUGAGCA